GUGGACGAACCUCUGGUGUUCGGGUUGUGUCGCCAGACGCAUUGCCCGGUAGCUAAGUUCGGAAUCGAUAACCGCUGAAAGCAUCUAAGCGGGAAGCGAGCCCUGAGAUGAGUCUUCCCUGAUACUUUAAGUAUCCUAAAGGGUUGUCGGAGACUACGACGUUGAUAGGUCAGGUGUGUAAGUGCUGUGAGGCAUUGAGCUAACUGAUACUAAUUGCCCGUGAGGCUUAACCAUACAACACCCAAGGGGUUU
rnacentral:rRNA from 1 species